AGUUUAUGAACUUGUAUAAGUAUAUGUUUUGAAAGCAUAAAAAAGUUGUUAUAAUCCACUAUAAACUU
rnacentral:tRNA from 1 species